CUCAAACGCAGACUUUGCGGGAAACAAAAAGGACUUUAAUAGUCAAAAGCCAAAAACACAGGAACCGGGAGGAAAAACAGCAGGCGGGAAACUACAGACAUCCACAACAAGAGACAAGAACAUGCGUGACGAAAGACAAUGACGCGACCAGUGACACAGGAGACACACGGCUUAAAUACACAAGGGAGGUGCAGGUGAUUGGACACAGAUGGAAACUAUUAGACGAUCACAGGGGACGACGGGACAAGGCAGGAAGUGAAGUUACCCGGGGACACGAGUGGCAGAAAACUACAAAAUACAACAGGAAGUGAACCACACCGUGACACUUCUAGACAACUGCGAUGAACAGAAAGUCUACAGUCUACGAGGUGUACACUUCUUUGUGAGGAGCCUGAAGAACUGUCUGAAUUCAGACCCGGAGGAGACUUGUGUCCAGGGAGUCCAACUUGGAAUAGUCACAGUGGUUGAAGGUGACGUUGGAACGGUCCGAUCAAGUCCAACAACAACAAGCAUCGCCCUGGUUAUUGAGCAAUGGAUUGUCCUGCAUGAUGCAUGCGACCUCUCAGCAGCAUUCUCUCAUCUGUGCUCUGUGUGUUUUUACUAAAUGCCACUGAUGUGUUGACCACAUCUGGUGAAAAGCAUUUCUAAAGACCAGUGUACAGUUGUCUUGUUACAGACUAUACGAUAGGUGCUUUUGUUUCUGUUCAUUCAUAAUAAAGGCAAAAAAGCCUCAUACUGUUUUUGGUUGAUUUAUUUUUUCUGGGUCAGUUCAUCUAGGAUUUAGACAGAGUGAUAAGAUGAUUAGUUGCGAGAAACUAUUCCGGAAAUAUUUAAACUAUCUGGUUGUUAGUUUGUUGAUUUGUUGCCAAUUUGGUCUUUGAAUUCUGAAAUUCAAUUAUGUUGUUUUAGAAGCAGGUGUACUUAACUGGUUCAACUUGUUUAAAUGCUGUUCUUUGAG
ensembl:lncRNA